AUUAUUAUCUCCAGGGGAGAUACCAUGAUGAUGAAAGUGGUUUUCCCAGUGAGGCUUAUCCAUUGCACCCCGGAUGUGCUGACCCCUGCAAUUUCCCCAAAUGUGAGGAACUCGACUGCAUAAUUUGUGGUAGUGGGGGACUGUGUUCGUGCUUUCCCCUG
ensembl:snRNA U1 U1 spliceosomal RNA